rnacentral:rRNA from 1 species
UACGUAGGGGGCAAGCGUUGUCCGGAAUCAUUGGGCGUAAAGAGCGUGUAGGCGGCUCGAUAAGUCUGCUGUGAAAGUCCAGGGCUCAACCCUGGAAGGCCGGUGGAAACUGUCGGGCUAGAGUCCGGAAGAGGCGAGUGGAAUUCCCGGUGUAGCGGUGAAAUGCGCAGAUAUCGGGAGGAACACCAAUGGCGAAGGCAGCUCGCUGGAACGGUACUGACGCUGAGGCGCGAAAGCGUGGGGAGCGAACAGG